UCUGAAUGUGGAAUUUCGUUAAAUGAGGGUCCAAAAAACUAUAGAACUGUGGAUGCUGGAAAACAGAAAAACAAACAAAUUUCUGGAAGAACUUAACAGAUCUGGCAACAUCUGUGGAGAGAAAGCAGAGUUAACACUUCAGGUCAUGUGUCACUUCCCAUCAUUGUUCUCUACAAUUGCAACAGGUACGUCUGGGGACUAUCCAAAAGGGCCAAAACCACUCUGCAUGUUGGCCAGGAGGCAAUUCUACAAUUCUACAAGGGCUGCUCAGUGCCAUUUGCCUCAUGAGCAAAAGUAGAGGCAGAAAUCAGAAGGCCAGAGAGUGAAGGAAUUAUCAAACCAAUCCAGUCUGUGGAAUGGGCUGCACUGUUCAUACCGAUUGUGAAGCCGAAUGGGUCGGUUCACCUUUGUGGGGAUUUUACACAAAUGCCAUCAGCAUUUCUUGCUGGACAUAUGAUUCUACUCAUUCGGACUGGUGGACUUGCCAGAAAAUAAAUCUACUGCUGAGAAUGAACAGAUUCAGUUGCUAUUCUGAAUGAUCUUGAACUUGGGAGGCAAAUGAUCAAAAGAUGGAUUCAAUUUGAUUAAUUUGGUAGACAGAUGAAUUCUCCAUAUAAGACACAAACAGAACCUCCAAUCACAUUGGCAAGAAUUUCUUGAAGAAACAACUUGUUUGAUUUUUAGUUAAAUAGCAAAAUGGUGACAAUUUCUGGCAGCACGCUGUAGCUAAAUGAAAAUUAACACUGUUUUGUUAAGGAUUAGUCUCUUCCUUAAAUAAUUUGUCUUGUGUUCAUGUCAGAAAUGCAAUUUCUAUAAGUAAACUGA